rnacentral:rRNA from 1 species
GAUGAACGCUGGCGGCGUGCCUAAUACAUGCAAGUCGAGCGAACAGACGAGGAGCUUGCUCCUUUGACGUUAGCGGCGGACGGGUGAGUAACACGUGGAUAACCUACCUAUAAGACUGGGAUAACUUCGGGAAACCGGAGCUAAUACCGGAUAACAUGUUGAACCGCAUGGUUCAACAGUGAAAGACGGUCUUGCUGUCACUUAUAGAUGGAUCCGCGGCGCAUUAGCUAGUUGGUAAGGUAACGGCUUACCAAGGCAAGUCUUCGUAGCCGACCUAAGAGGGUGAUCGGACACGCUUGAACUGGAACACAGUGCAGUCUCGCAGGGGAGGCAGGAGUAGGGAAUCUUGCGGAAAGGGCGAAAGCCUGACGGAACAACGUCGCGUGAGUCAAGAUGGUCUUCGGAUUGUAAAACUCUGUUAUAGGGGAAGAACAAAGGUGUAAGUGACUAUGCACGUCUUGACGGUACCUAAUCAGAAAGCCACGGCUUACUACGUG